rnacentral:rRNA from 1 species
GUAAUAAUCCUGUAGUCGAAAAUGUUGUCUCUCUUGAGUGGAUCCUGAGUACGACGGAGCACGUGAAAUUCCGUCGGAAUCUGGGAGGACCAUCUCCUAAGGCUAAAUACUCUCUAGUGACCGAUAGUGAACCAGUACCGUGAGGGAAAGGUGAAAAGCACCCCGGAAGGGGAGUGAAAUAGAACCUGAAACCGUGUGCUUACAAGUAGUCAGAGCCCGUUAAUGGGUGAUGGCGUGCCUUUUGUAGAAUGAACCGGCGAGUUACGAUUUGAUGCAAGGUUAAGCAGUAAAUGUGGAGCCGUAGCGAAAGCGAGUCUGAAUAGGGCGUUUAGUAUUUGGUCGUAGACCCGAAACCAGGUGAUCUACCCUUGGUCAGGUUGAAGUUCAGGUAACACUGAAUGGAGGACCGAACCGACUUACGUUGAAAAGUGAGCGGAUGAACUGAGGGUAGCGGAGAAAUUCCAAUCGAACCUGGAGAUAGCUGGUUCUCUCCGAAAUAGCUUUAGGGCUAGCCUCAAGUGAUGAUUAUUGGAGGUAGAGCACUGUUUGGACGAGGGGCCCCUCUCGGGUUACCGAAUUCAGACAAACUCCGAAUGCCAAUUAAUUUAACUUGGGAGUCAGAACAUGGGUGAUAAGGUCCGUGUUCGAAAGGGAAACAGCCCAGACCACCAGCUAAGGUCCCAAAAUAUAUGUUAAGUGGAAAAGGAUGUGGCGUUGCCCAGACAACUAGGAUGUUGGCUUAGAAGCAGCCAUCAUUUAAAGAGUGCGUAAUAGCUCACUAGUCGAGUGACACUGCGCCGAAAAUGUACCGGGGCUAAACAUAUUACCGAAGCUGUGGAUUGUCCUUUGGACAAUGGUAGGAGAGCGUUCUAAGGGCGUUGAAGCAUGAUCGUAAGGACAUGUGGAGCGCUUAGAAGUGAGAAUGCCGGUGUGAGUAGCGAAAGACGGGUGAGAAUCCCGUCCACCGAUUGACUAAGGUUUCCAGAGGAAGGCUCGUCCGCUCUGGGUUAGUCGGGUCCUAAGCUGAGGCCGACAGGCGUAGGCGAUGGAUAACAGGUUGAUAUUCCUGUACCACCUAUAAUCGUUUUAAUCGAUGGGGGGACGCAGUAGGAUAGGCGAAGCGUGCGAUUGGAUUGCACGUCUAAGCAGUAAGGCUGAGUAUUAGGCAAAUCCGGUACUCGUUAAGGCUGAGCUGUGAUGGGGAGAAGACAUUG